UACGGGGGAUGCAAGCGUUAUCCGGAUUUAUUGGGUUUAAAGGGUGCGUAGGCGGUCUGUCAAGUCGGCGGUGAAAACAGCAUGCUAAACAUGGUGCUUGCCGUCGAGACUGGUGGGCUUGAAUGUGGAUGAUGCCGGCGGAAUGUGUAAAGUAGCGGUGAAAUGCAUAGAUAUUACACAGAAGGUCGAUUGCGAAAGCAGCUGGCAAAGGCACUAUUGACGCUGAGGCACGAAAGUGCGGGGAUCGAACAGG
rnacentral:rRNA from 1 species